rnacentral:misc_RNA from 1 species
AAUGCAAUCAAUAUGUGCUACAGAAAUUUCAAAGUGAUCCAUAUGCAAGAACUUACUGGAUUCCGGCUGAGUGGGAGAUCGGCGAUCUUGGGUCCGCGCCGGUGAUGGAAGGAAAGCCAAUGGAGAUAGAGAGCUAUGGAGAUUGUAGGGCCUUCAACCGUGAUCUGAGUUUGUUGCUGGAUCGGCAAAAACACAUGGGAGUUGGAGACCAAAGAGUUGAUGAUUGUAACUUCGAGUUUUUGAGACCUGAUUAUGAUUUUGGGUUGGAGGAGGAACGCAAGU